AACGAUGGAGGUGCAGGCAUUUCCUGAGGAUUAAUGACCAGCUGGGAGGAACCAGUGGCCCUUGGCUCUGCCUUCCAGCCAGCCAUUAAUUCCAAGGAAAUGUCUUUUGCUGAGGUUGUU
rnacentral:pre_miRNA from 1 species